GCACUGCCUCCUCCACUGCCGCUGGCCGGAUACAUUGUGGAUUCAAUAUCAAAGUCGAUCGGAGUUUCGCUCUGCUCAGCUGUCAGCCCGAGCUGUUU
rnacentral:sRNA from 1 species